GACGAACGCUGGCGGCGUGCCUAAUACAUGCAAGUCGAACGAAAAGACCAGGAGUUUGCUCCUUUCUCGUUUGGCGAGGGGGGGAGAGAAACAUGUGGAAAAUCCCCCUAUAAGUCUGGGAAAAUCUCGGGAAAACGGAGAAUAUAGCGGAUAAUAUAUUGAAGCGCGUGGGUGAAUGGAAAAAUACGGGUUUUGUGGAUCUUCUCGCUGGAUCCGCGCCGGUUUUGCUAGUUGGUAAGGUAAAGGCUUACCAAGGCAACGAUGCGUAGCCGACCUGAGGGGGUGAUCGGCCACACUGGAACUGAGACACGGUCCAGACUCCUACGGGAGGCAGCAGUAGGGAAUCUUCCGCAAUGGGCGAAAGCCUGACGGAGCAACGCCGCGUGAGUGAUGAAGGUCUUCGGAUCGUAAAACUCUGUUAUUAGGGAAGAACAAAUGUGUAAGUAACUAUGCACGUCUUGACGGUACCUAAUCAGAAAGCCACGGCUAACUACGUG
rnacentral:rRNA from 1 species